UACGAAGGGGGCUAGCGUUGCUCGGAAUCACUGGGCGUAAAGCGCACGUAGGCGGAUCUUUAAGUCAGGGGUGAAAUCCCAAGGCUCAACCUUGGAACUGCCUUUGAUACUGGGGAUCUCGAGUCCGGAAGAGGUUGGUGGAACUGCGAGUGUAGAGGUGAAAUUCGUAGAUAUUCGCAAGAACACCAGUGGCGAAGGCGGCCAACUGGUCCGGUACUGACGCUGGGGUGCGAAAGCGUGGGGAGCAAACAGG
rnacentral:rRNA from 1 species